GACCAGCUGUAUCUAGUAUCUCCAUGGAAACCACUUCAUCGUCAAUGGUAGCUUGGUGACGAUAUGUAGACUCUAAAAUAAGAACGCAUUUUGUGAAACAUUUUAAAAGAAGGUUUUUGGGUUUGCUUUUUUUUAGCUCUGGAAGACUGCAGCCCAUUUUCCAUGUUUGUUGAUAGGGAAGGCUGCCACCUAUGAAACACAACUACCACUACUCUCAAAGUAUCCAGCUCAACAGCCUGUCAAUGCAUAGCUUGAAGUCUCAAGAUCAAAACCAGUAUGGUUGCAGAACAGGGAACCUAACCACUAAGUCAGGGCUUAUACUGUGAUAAAAUUACAGAACAGUUAGCUAUUUUAGGAAUGUCUCUGAAGCAUGCUGAA